rnacentral:rRNA from 1 species
CGCGUAGGCGGCUUUUCAAGCGUGCGGUGAAAGCUCGGGGCUUAACUCCGAGUCUGCCGUGCGAACUGGGAGGCUUGAGUCUGGUAGAGGUCGAUGGAAUUCCGGGUGUAGCGGUGGAAUGCGUAGAGAUCCGGAAGAACACCGGCGGCGAAGGCGGUCGACUGGGCCAGUACUGACGCUGAGGCGCGACAGCGUGGGGAGCAAACA